rnacentral:rRNA from 1 species
AACGCUAGCGGCAGGCCUAAUACAUGCAAGUCGAGCGGCAAGUCGAGGAGUAAUCUAAGACCUAGAGCGGCGCACGGGUGCGUAACGCGUAUGCAACCUACCUAUCACAGGGGAAUAGCCUUUGGAAACAGGGAUUAAUACCGCAUAAAGCAGGGACACCGCAUGGUGAUAUUGCUAAAGAUUUAUCGGUGAUAGAUGGGCAUGCGUCUGAUUAGUUAGUUGGCAGGGUAACGGCCUACCAAGACGAUGAUCAGUAGGGGGCGUCAGAGCGUGGUCCCCCACACUGGCACUGAGAUACGGGCCAGACUCCUACGGGAGGCAGCAGUAGGGAAUAUUGGGCAAUGGAUGCAAGUCUGACCCAGCCAUGCCGCGUGCAGGAAGAAGGUCCUCUGGAUUGUAAACUGCUUUUAUCGGGGAAGAAUAGUUUUCUUGCGAGGGAAUGUGACGGUACCCGAUGAAUAAGCCACGGCUAACUACGUG